rnacentral:rRNA from 1 species
AUUGAACGCUGGCGGCAUGCCUUACACAUGCAAGUCGAACGGUAACAGGUCUUCGGAUGCUGACGAGUGGCGAACGGGUGAGUAAUACAUCGGAACGUGCCUAGUAGUGGGGGAUAACUACUCGAAAGAGUGGCUAAUACCGCAUGAGAUCUACGGAUGAAAGCAGGGGAUCGCAAGACCUUGUGCUACUAGAGCGGCCGAUGGCAGAUUAGGUAGUUGGUGGGAUAAAAGCUUACCAAGCCGACGAUCUGCAGCUGGUCUGAGAGGACGAUCAGCCACACUGGGACUGAGACACGGCCCAGACUCCUACGGGAGGCAGCAGUGGGGAAUUUUGGACAAUGGGCGCAAGCCUGAUCCAGCAAUGUCGCGUGCAGGAUGAAGGCCUUCGGGUUGUAAACUGCUUUUGUACGGAACGAAAAGACUCUUUCUAAUAAAGAGGGUCCAUGACGGUACCGUAAGAAUAAGCACCGGCUAACUACGUGCCAGCCGCCGCGGUAACAC